AUUGAACGCUGGCGGCGUGCCUAACACAUGCAAGUCGAGCGGUAACAGGUGUAGCAAUACAUGCUGACGAGCGGCGGACGGGUGAGUAACGCUUGGGAAUCUGCCUAUUAGUGGGGGGACAACCCGGGGAAACUCGGGCUAAUACCGCAUACGCUCUACGGAGGAAAGCCGGGGACCGCAAGGCCUGGCGCUAAUAGAUGAGCCCAAGUCGGAUUAGCUAGUUGGUAGGGUAAUGGCCUCCCAAGGCGACGAUCCGUAACUGGUCUGAGAGGACGACCAGUCACACCGGAACUGAGACACGGUCCGGACUCCUACGGGAGGCAGCAGUGGGGAAUAUUGGACAAUGGGCGAAAGCCUGAUCCAGCGACGCCGCGUGGGUGAAGAAGGCCUGCGGGUUGUAAAGCCCUUUCACCCACGACGAUGAUGACGGUAGUGGGAGAAGAAGCCCCGGCUAACUUCGUGCCA
rnacentral:rRNA from 1 species